GACGACGCUGGCGGCGUGCCUAACACAUGCAAGUCGAGCGGAGUCGAUCGACGGAAGCCUUCGGGCGGAAGAUGGUUGACUUAGCGGCGGAUGGGUGAGUAACGCGUGGGCAACCUGCCUCGAAGACCGGGAUAACAGCCCGAAAGGGCUGCUAAUACCGGAUGUGGUCAAGGAUCCGCAUGGAUUUUGAUUAAAGGGGAAACCCGUUUCGAGAUGGGCCCGCGUCCUAUCAGCUAGUUGGUGAGGUAAAAGCUCACCAAGGCGACGACGGGUAGCCGGCCUGAGAGGGUGACCGGCCACACUGGAACUGAGACGCGGUCCAGACUCCUACGGGGGGCAGCAGUGGGGAAUCUUCCACAAUGGGCGAAAGCCUGAUGGAGCGACGCCGCGUGAGCGAAGAAGGCCUUCGGGUUGUAAAGCUCUGUCUGGAGGGACGAAGGAAGUGACGGUACCUCCGGAGGAAGCCACGGCUAACUACGUG
rnacentral:rRNA from 1 species